CCUUAAUAGCGGUGCACCAUUAGGAUGUCCUGAUCCAACAUCGAGGUCGUAAACCCCCUCGUCGAUAGGGACUCUGGGAGAGGAUUGCGCUGUUAUCCCUAGGGUAACUCUGUCCGUUGAUCGGCGUUCGCCGGAUCAUUUUUGGUCAGAAAUUCUGGUGCUUAGAGUUGUGGCUCUUGGUUGUGGGGGCAGUGCCCCCAGUCCACAUGGGGGCUUUGUUUUCCCCCGCGGUCGCCCCAACCAAAGACAUAGGGGCUAGGGGUCACUGUGUUUUUACUUGUUAAUUCAAGGUUACUUGACGUGAUCUGCCUGGUGUCUAAAGCUCCAUAGGGUCUUCUCGUCUUAUGUAUUUAUGUCCGCUUCUGCACGGG
rnacentral:rRNA from 1 species